AUGCAGUUCCUGUUGAGCACACCCACUGGAUGCUUGCUCACCGACGGGCCAAGGAGCACAAACAUAACACCAGAUGAUGGAAAUCGAACAAGUGGAAAAAGAGGAAUCUCGGAUGACGGGGUUGAGGCAGACGAGGAAGUUUUGACCAUCUGUGGACGACGAAGCUUGGACCGACGACGCAAGAGGGUGCUCCUGAUCCCGGCGGCAGCGACUGUGUCCAAACCAAAUAGCCCAAAUACGUGCAACCGGCCCAAAACUCAGCCUGUCGACCAAAAUUUGAAAAGGCUCAACAGUGGAGGAGCGCCUUCUAGAAGAAUCCGGCUAGGGCUACAGGCGGCGGUGGGGCGCAUGGCGGGCGGCGAAGGUGCCGCCACCGCGGGGGCGCCGGAGGAGGCGGGGAUGGGCCUCGACAUCUCGCGCGGGGGCGGGCUGCCCAGCUUCGAGUUCGCGUUCAAUUCAGAGAGCUUCUCCGACCGGGUGCUGCGGCUGGAGGUCGUCGCCAGCGACGGAGGACCCCUCCCCGACUUGGCGUUCCACCGCGAGGAGGAAGCAGAUGAAAAAAGUAUUGACUCUUCUUGGACCAUGGUGUCUACGCCAGUUUUACGAGUAAAGACCAUUUACAUCAAUUCGGUUGUUCUCGCUGCAAAUAGUCCAUUCUUUCUUAAGCUUUUCUCAAAUGGCAUGAAAGAGUCUGAUCAGAGGCAUCUAACAGUCCGAAUUGCUGAUUCGGGAACGGAGGAAACUGUCAUGAUGGAGAUUUUGAGCUUUAUGUACACUGGAAAGUUGUCAACAACUGAGCCGAAUCUUCUGCUCGACAUCUUGAUGGCCGCUGACAAAUUUGAAGUUCUGGCUUGCAUGAGACAUUGUAACCAGUUACUCACAAACUUGCCUAUGACCAGAGAGUCUGCAUUGCUCUACCUAGAUUACCCAUGCUCCACUUCAGUGGCUGCUGAAAUUCGGCAUCUGACAGAUGCAGCCAAGGAAUUCCUCGCCAGCAAAUACAAGGUUUUGGCCAAGUUGGAUUCGACCGACCCUGCCCACAGGUCAUUGAUGGACAUGCCUCUUGCUGGGAUUGAAGCCAUCUUUUCUAGUACUGACCUACAGAUAAGAUCUGAAAAUACCGUAUAUAGCUUCUUGCUUGAGUGGGUGUGCAAGCAAUACCCAGAAACAGAGGAGAGGCACAAGAUAUGGAGUUCUCGCUUACUUCCACUUGUGCGCUUCAGUCAUAUGACUUGGAGUAAACUCCACGAAGUCCUGACAUGCAGUGAUGAUGAUGUGGACAAUGAGCAAACAAAGAAGCUUAUUACUGAUUCUCUCUUGCACAAAGCUUACCCAGCACAUGAGCAAGCCACUAUUGAGGCAGACACAAGAACCUGUUGGCAAGCCCCACAGCGAGCUUACAUGCUUAAACCAAUCAAAGUGGUUGAAUUCGACCGGCCCUGCCCAGAGGUCAUUGUUUACUUGGAUCUAACACGCGAGGAGUGCUCCCGGCUGUUCCCAACAGGAGACAUUUUGACACACUUGUUCCAUCUUGCUGGACAAGAUUUCUUUCUCAGAGCAAACUGUCAAAUGGAUGAGCAGAGAAAAUUCGUGACCAGAUUGGAGGACAAGGCUACCUUCAGCAAUGAUUGGAUGGAGGGAUGCAAUGAUCUUUUUGAGGUUCCAUGGUCGACGUUCAUUUCCAACGACAACCUCAUCGAUGGCGUGCUGCAUCUGAGAGCUGACUUGAGGGUGGGGGUGGUGGCGCAGCUGGGACUAGAGACUUGA
rnacentral:rRNA from 1 species